rnacentral:rRNA from 1 species
GACGAACGCUGGCGGCGUGCCUAACACAUGCAAGUCGAACGGAAUCCAUCGACUGAUCCCUUCGGGGUGACGUUGAGAAGAUUUAGUGGCGGACGGGUGAGUAACACGUGAGCAACCUGCCUCUCAGUGGGGAAUAACACAAGGAAACUUGUGCUAAUACCGCAUGAUGCAUUUUAACCGCAUGGUUUUAAUGCCAAAGCUUUAUGCGCUGAGAGAUGGCUCGCGUCCGAUUAGAUAGUUGGUGAGGUAACGGCUCACCAAGUCGACGAUCGGUAGCCGGACUGAGAGGUUGAACGGCCACAUUGGGACUGAGACACGGCCCAG